GACGAACGCUGGCGGCAGGCCUAACACAUGCAAGUCGAACGGUAACAGGAAGAAGCUUGCUUCUUUGCUGACGAGUGGCGGACGGGUGAGUAAUGUCUGGGAAACUGCCUGAUGGAGGGGGAUAACUACUGGAAACGGUAGCUAAUACCGCAUAACGUCGCAAGACCAAAGAGGGGGACCUUCGGGCCUCUUGCCAUCGGAUGUGCCCAGAUGGGAUUAGCUAGUAGGUGGGGUAACGGCUCACCUAGGCGACGAUCCCUAGCUGGUCUGAGAGGAUGACCAGCCACACUGGAACUGAGACACGGUCCAGACUCCUACGGGAGGCAGCAGUGGGGAAUAUUGCACAAUGGGCGCAAGCCUGAUGCAGCCAUGCCGCGUGUAUGAAGAAGGCCUUCGGGUUGUAAAGUACUUUCAGCGGGGAGGAAGGGAGUAAAGUUAAUACCUUUGCUCAUUGACGUUACCCGCAGAAGAAGCACCGGCUAACUCCGUGCCAGCAGCCGCGGUAAUACGGAGGGUGCAAGCGUUAAUCGGAAUUACUGGGCGUAAAGCGCACGCAGGCGGUUUGUUAAGUCAGAUGUGAAAUCCCCGGGCUCAACCUGGGAACUGCAUCUGAUACUGGCAAGCUUGAGUCUCGUAGAGGGGGGUAGAAUUCCAGGUGUAGCGGUGAAAUGCGUAGAGAUCUGGAGGAAUACCGGUGGCGAAGGCGGCCCCCUGGACGAAGACUGACGCUCAGGUGCGAAAGCGUGGGGAGCAAACAGGAUUAGAUACCCUGGUAGUCCACGCCGUAAACGAUGUCGACUUGGAGGUUGUGCCCUUGAGGCGUGGCUUCCGGAGCUAACGCGUUAAGUCGACCGCCUGGGGAGUACGGCCGCAAGGUUAAAACUCAAAUGAAUUGACGGGGGCCCGCACAAGCGGCGGAGCAUGCGGAUUAAUUCGAUGCAACGCGAAGAACCUUACCAAGGCUUGACAUGCACGGCGGCACUGCAGGGAUGUGGUGGCAUUUAGUUGGUCGUGUGCAGGUGGUGCAUGGUUGUCGUCAGCUCGUGUCGUGAGAUGUUGGGUUAAGUCCCGCAACGAGCGCAACCCUUGCCCUAUGUUGCCAGCACGUGAUGGUGGGGACUCGUGGGGGACUGCCGGGGUUAACUCGGAGGAAGGUGGGGAAGACGUCAAAUCAUCAUGCCCCUUAUGUCUUGGGCUUCACGCAUGCUACAAUGGCUGGUACAGAGGGUUGCGAUACUGUGAGGUGGAGCGAAUCCCUUAAAGCCAGUCUCAGUUCGGAUUGGGGUCUGCAACUCGACCUCAUGAAGUCGGAGUCGCUAGUAAUCGCAGAUCAGCAACGCUGCGGUGAAUACGUUCCCGGGGCU
rnacentral:rRNA from 1 species